GUCCUGAAGGCUCAACGGUAGAGCAUACGAUUUAGUCGUAAGAUGCAGGUUCGACUCCUGCUCAGGAUA
rfam:Rhizophagus irregularis DAOM 181602 strain DAOM 197198 GLOINscaffold_1486_Cont1491, whole genome shotgun sequence.